GAUGAACGCUGGCGGCGUGCCUAAUACAUGCAAGUCGAGCGAACGGACGAGAAGCUUGCUUCUCUGAUGUUAGCGGCGGACGGGUGAGUAACACGUGGAUAACCUACCUAUAAGACUGGGAUAACUUCGGGAAACCGUAGCUAAUACCGGAUAAUAUUUUGAACCGCAUGGUUCAAAAGUGAAAGACGGUCUUGCUGUCACUUAUAGAUGGAUCCGCGCUGCAUUAGCUAGUUGGUAAGGUAACGGCUUACCAAGGCAACGAUGCAUAGCCGACCUGAGAGGGUGAUCGGCCACACUGGAACUGAGACACGGUCCAGACUCCUACGGGAGGCAGCAGUAGGGAAUCUUCCGCAAUGGGCGAAAGCCUGACGGAGCAACGCCGCGUGAGUGAUGAAGGUCUUCGGAUCGUAAAACUCUGGUAUUAGGGAAGAACAUAUGUGUAAGUAACUGUGCACAUCUUGACGGUACCUAAUCAGAAAGCCACGGCUAACUACGUG
rnacentral:rRNA from 1 species